rnacentral:lncRNA from 1 species
GUGUGACUGUGUGUGUUUAUGAGGUGUGACUGUGUGUGUUUGAGGUGUGACUGUGUGUGUUUGAGUUGUGACUGUGUGUGUUUGAGGAGUGACUGUGUGUGUUUAUGAGGAGUGACUGUGUGUGUUUAUGAGGAGUGACUGUGUGUGUUUAUGCAGUGUGACUGUGUGUGUUUAUGAUGUGUGACUGUGUGUUUAUGAGGAGUGACUGUGUGUGUUUAUGCGGUGUGACUGUGUGUGUUUAUGAGGAGUGACUGUGUGUUUAUGAGGAGUGACUGUGUGUGUUUAUGAGGAGUGACUGUGUGUGCUUAUGAGGAGUGACUGUGUGUGUUUAUGAGGAGUGACUGUGUGUGUUUAUGAGGUUUGACUGUGUGUUUAUGAGGAGUGACUGUGUGUGUUUAUGAGGAGUGACUGUGUCUGUUUAUGAGGUGUGACUGUGUGUGUUUAUGAGGUGUGACUGUGUGUGUUUAUGAGGAGUGACUGUGUGUGUUUAUGAGGAGUGACUGUGUGUGUUUAUGAGGAGUGACUGUGUGUUUAUGAGGAGUGACUGUGUGUGUUUAUGAGGAGUGACUGUGUGUUUAUGAGGUGUGACUGUGUGUGUUUAUGAGGUGUGACUGUGUGUGUUUAUGAGGUGUGACUGUGUGUGUUUAUGAGGUGUGACUGUGUGUGUUUAUGAGGAGUGACUGUGUGUGUUUGAGGUGUGACUGUGUGUGCUUAUGAGGAGUGACUGUGUGUGUUUAUGAGGAGUGACUGUGUGUGUUUAUGAGGAGUGACUGUGUGUGUUUAUGAGGUGUCACUGUGUGUGUUUAUGAGGUGUGACUGUGUGUCUUUAUGAGGUGUGACUGUGUGUGUUUAUGAGGUGUGACUGUGUGUGUUUAUGAGGACUGACUGUGUGUGUUUAUGAGGACUGACUGUGUGUGUUUAUGAGGUGU